AUCUAUCAUCGCCGCCAACGGCCAAGCAGACCUAUGGAACUAUAAGUUGAUACGGCCUGAGGACACACACCACAACUACACAAGGGAAAUGAUGUCCAUAAAUUAACCUGAAGAGGGCGACCAACUACUAGCUACUAGCCCGCCAUGUCCUCAACAAAGAUGAGUGUUGCUACCAUCAUGGUGCUAGCGCUGAUGCUGGCGCUUCAAGGCACCGUUGACGCCGGCCGCCUCUUUCCCAACUCCAGGCCGGACGACUGUCCGCCUGGAUACUCACGGGAAUGCUAUAUCGUUGACCGGCAAUCAUUCUGCGGGUGCGCACCAGAUCUUCAGCUUGUGGCGGCGAGACCAGAGAAGAAUGGUCACAUGUUGACCCAGCUAGAUUGCCCACCAGGCCAACAGUGUGGAAGUCCCAUUCCGGUCUGGGCCCCUGCGAAUGCAUGUAGCUAGCCGGUACCUAUAUCCUAGCAAUAAUGGCCAUGCAUCAAACAUGAAUUACAUUGUGUGCAUAUUGCAUGUAAUGCUGCUCGGAGUAGUACUGAUGCUACUCGUGUCGUUGUAAGGCUACCUCUUACACCAACCAAUAAAAUAAGGGCAACGCUAUGUGCCGGCGCCGGUCAAUGCCCCAGCGGAUACAUGCACAUGUAACCGUUCGAUUCAGAAAAAAAAAAGAAAAAAAAAUCUCCUCCUCGCUCUCACCGCCUUCCGCUAGCUUGCUCGUCGGCGUGCUCGCCAGCACGCUCGUUGGAGCCGCUCGUCGGCGUGCAAGCCAGCAUGCUCGUCGG
rnacentral:lncRNA from 1 species